rnacentral:rRNA from 1 species
GACGAACGCUGGCGGCGUGCUUAACACAUGCAAGUCGAACGGUGAAGCGCCUUCCUUUUUGGUGGGUGUGGAUGAGUGGCGAACGGGUGAGUAACACGUGAGUAACCUGCCCCCUUCUUCUGGAUAACCGCAUGAAAGUGUGGCUAAUACGGGAUAUUCUGGGUCUGUCGCAUGAUGGGUCUGGGAAAGAUAUUGUUUCGGUGGGGGAUGGGCUCGCGGCCUAUCAGCUUGUUGGUGGGGUGAUGGCCUACCAAGGCGGUGACGGGUAGCCGGCCUGAGAGGGUGGACGGUCACACUGGGACUGAGACACGGCCCAGACUCCUACGGGAGGCAGCAGUGGGGAAUAUUGAACAAUGGGCGCAAGCCUGAUGCAGCGACGCCGCGUGAGGGAUGGAGGCCUUCGGGUUGUGAACCUCUUUCGCCAGUGAAGCAGGCCUGCCUCGUUUGUGGGUGGGUUGACGGUAGCUGGAUAAGAAGCGCCAGCUAACUACGUG